rnacentral:rRNA from 1 species
ACUGCUCAGUAACACGUGGAUAACCUGCCCUAAGGAAGGGGAUAACCCCGGGAAACUGGGGAUAAUACCCUAUAGGUUAUAGAUGCUGGAAUGCUCUGUAACUCAAAGUUCCGGCGCCUUAGGAUGGAUCUGCGGCCGAUUAGGUUGUUGUUGGGGUAAUGGCCCAACAAGCCUGUAAUCGGUACGGGUUGUGGGAGCAAGAGCCCGGAGUUGGAUUCUGAGACACGAAUCCAGGCCCUACGGGGCGCAGCAGGCGCGAAAACUUUACAAUGCGGGCAACCGUGAUAAGGGAACCUCGAGUGCCUGUAUAUGCAGGCUGUCUAGGUGUCUAAAACACACCUGAAGAAAGGGCCGGGCAAGACCGGUGCCAGCCGCCGCGGUAAUACCGGCGGCUCGAGUGGUGGCCACUUUUAUUGGGCUUAAAGCGUUCGUAGCUGGGUUGUUAAGUCUCUUGGGAAAUCUGGCGGCUUAACCGUCAGGCGUCUAAGGGAUACUGGCAAUCUUGGAACCGGGAGAGGUGAGGGGUACUUCGGGGGUAGGAGUGAAAUCCUGUAAUCCUCGAGGGACCACCUGUGGCGAAGGCGCCUCACCAGAACGGCUUCGACAGUGAGGGACGAAAGCUGGGGGAGCAAACCGGAUUAGAUACCCGGGUAGUCCCAGCCGUAAACGAUGUGCGUUAGGUGUAUCGACGACCACGAGUCGUCGAGGUGCCGAAGGGAAACCGUGAAACGUACCGCCUGGGAAGUACGGUCGCAAGGCUGAAACUUAAAGGAAUUGGCGGGGGAG